rnacentral:rRNA from 1 species
UACGGGGGGAGCAAGCGUUGUUCGGAUUUACUGGGCGUAAAGGGCGCGUAGGCGGCCAGCACAAGUCAGUUGUGAAAUCUCCGGGCUUAACUCGGAAAGGUCAACUGAUACUGUGCGACUAGAGUGCGGAAGGGGCAACUGGAAUUCUCGGUGUAGCGGUGAAAUGCGUAGAUAUCGAGAGGAACACCUACGGCGAAGGCGGGUUGCUGGGCCGACACUGACGCUGAUGCGCGAAAGCCAGGGGAGCGAACGGG